UUGAACGCUGGCGGCAUGCCUAACACAUGCAAGUCGAACGGCAGCACAGCAGUAGCAAUACUGUGGGUGGCGAGUGGCGGACGGGUGAGUAAUGCAUCGGGAUCUACCCAAACGUGGGGGAUAACGUAGGGAAACUUACGCUAAUACCGCAUACGUCCUAAGGGAGGAAAGCGGGGGGACCGAAAGGCCUCGCGCGGUUGGACGAACCGAUGUGCGAUUAGCUAGUUGGUAGGGUAAUGGCCUACCAAGGCGACGAUCGCUAGCUGGUCUGAGAGGAUGAUCAGGCCACACUGGAACUGAGACACGGUCCCAGACUCCUACGGGAGGCAGCAGUGGGGAAUAUUGGACAAUGGGCGCAAGCCUGAUCCAGCAAUGCCGCGUGUGUGAAGAAGGCCUUCGGGUUGUAAAGCACUUUUAUCAGGAGCGAAAUACUACUGGCUAAUAACCGGUGGGGCUGACGGUACCUGAGGAAUAAGCACCGGCUAACUUCGUGCCAGCAGCCGCGGGUAAUACGAAGGGUGGCAAGCGUUAAUCGGAAAUUACUGGGCGUAAAGCGUGCGUAGGCGGUGAGUUAAGUCUGUUGUGAAAUCCCCGGGCUCAACCUGGGAAUGGCAAUGGAUACUGGCUCGCUAGAGUGUGAUAGAGGAUGGUGGAAUUCCCGGUGUGUAGCGGUGUGAAAUGCGUAGAGAUCGGGAGGAACAUCAGUGGCGAAGGCGGCCAUCUGGAUCAACACUGACGCUGAGGCACGAAAGCGUGGGGAGCAAACAGGAUUAGAUACCCCUGGUAGUCCACGCCCUAAACGAUGCGAACUGGAUGUUGGUCUCAACUCGGAGAUCAGUGUCGAAGCUAACGCGUUAAGUUCGCCGCCUGGGGAGUACGGUCGCAAGACUGAAACUCAAAGGAAUUGACGGGGGCCCGCACAAGCGGUGGAGUAUGUGGUUUAAUUCGAUGCAACGCGAAGAACCUUACCUGGCCUUGACAUGUCUGGAAUCCUGCAGAGAUGCGGGAGUGCCUUCGGGAAUCAGAACACAGGUGCUGCAUGGCUGUCGUCAGCUCGUGUCGUGAGAUGUUGGGUUAAGUCCCGCAACGAGCGCAACCCUGUCCUUAGUUGCCAGCAUCGUAAUGGUGGGAACUCUAAGGAGACUGCCGGUGACAAACCGGAGGAAGGUGGGGAUGACGUCAAGUCAUCAUGGCCCUUACGGCCAGGGCUACACACGUACUACAAUGGUCGGUACAGAGGGUUGCAAUACCGCGAGGUGGAGCCAAUCCCAGAAAGCCGAUCCCAGUCCGGAUUGGAGUCUGCAACUCGACUCCAUGAAGUCGGAAUCGCUAGUAAUCGCAGAUCAGCUAUGCUGCGGUGAAUACGUCCCGGGCCUUGUACACACCGCCCGUCACACCAUGGGAGUGAGUUGCUCCAGAAGCCGUUAGUCUAACCGCAAGGGGGACGACGACCACGGAGUGGUUCAUGACUGGGGUG
rnacentral:rRNA from 1 species